CAGCUUCUGAGGAUCGAGGAGGAGCUGGGCGACGCUGCGGUGUACGCUGGCCUCAAGUUCGCCUGACUUCCAUCAAAGUGUAAUCAUGUUGUACACAGUACACUGUUCUCCAUCGGCGUCGACUCCCAAGCAGCUGGCAUGACGAGCACUGCACAAGGUCCCUGCUGCCUGCUGACUGUCAAUGGCUCCCUUCCCUGCUGCAGGUAGCAUCUUCACUUAUUCAGUUCAGACAUGCAGAGCAAAAAAUAUGUGGCCAGCUGAAUUCUAAAUAACGACGUCAGUUCAGACAUGUUAAGAGAAUCAGCAGAUUUCAUUGUUAAGAGAAUGAGCUAAUUCUCUGAAAAUCGUUUUGUUUUUCUGUAGCAAAUUAUUGUAUGAAUUGUAAACAUUUGUGCAAAGAUACUGUUGCUCUGAACAUUAUUCAAACAACAGAGAUAGAGCACAGUCUAUUGGUAUAUACAUGAGCAUUAAGCUAGGAGAAUUCUUAGCUAAUCCUUGAUGAGACAUUGGUGUGCUGAAUUAUCUCUGUUACCCACCAUAAUUUAUUUUUUUAUAUGAAAUAUGCAUGCUUGUA